rnacentral:rRNA from 1 species
GGCGGACGGGUGAGUAACGCGUGGGCAACCCGUCUCAUACAGGGGGAUAACAGUUAGAAAUGACUGCUAAUACCGCAUAAGACCACAGUACUGCAUGGUACAGUGGUAAAAACUCCGGUGGUAUGAGAUGGGCCCGCGUCUGAUUAGCUAGUUGGUGAGGUAACGGCUCACCAAGGCAACGAUCAGUAGCCGACCUGAGAGGGUGACCGGCCACAUUGGGACUGAGACACGGCCCAAACUCCUACGGGAGGCAGCAGUGGGGAAUAUUGCACAAUGGGGGAAACCCUGAUGCAGCGACGCCGCGUGAGCGAUGAAGUAUUUCGGUAUUUUUUUCUCUAUCAGCAGAGAAGAAAAUGACGGUACCUGACUAAGAAGCCCCGGCUAACUACGUGCCAGCAGCCGCGGUAAUACGUAGGGGGCAAGCGUUAUCCGGAUUUACUGGGUGUAAAGGGAGCGUAGACGGCGAUGCAAGCCAGAUGUGAAAGCCCGGGGCUCAACCCCGGGACUGCAUUUGGAACUGUAUAGCUAGAGUGUCGGAGAGGCAGGCGGAAUUCCUAGUGUAGCGGUGAAAUGCGUAGAGAUAUGGAGGAACACCAGUGGCGAAGGCGGCUUCCUGGUCUGCAACUGACACUGAGGCGCGAAAGCGUGGGGAGCAAACAGGAUUAGAUACCCUGGUAGUCCACGCCGUA